AGAUGGCCUAGUGGUUAGAGCUUCCGCCUGAGAUGCGAAAGAUCGAUUGUUCGAUCGCCAGUCGAGCUAUA